UACGUAGGGGGCAAGCGUUGUCCGGAAUCAUUGGGCGUAAAGCGCGUGUAGGCGGCUGGGUAAGUCCGCUCUGAAAGCCCGGGGCUCAACCCCGGGAGGCGGGUGGAUACUGCUCAGCUCGAGUCCGGAAGAGGAGUGUGGAAUUCCUGGUGUAGCGGUGAAAUGCGCAGAUAUCAGGAGGAACACCAAUGGCGAAGGCGAUCACCUGGGGUUGUUCUGACGCUGAGGAGCGAAAGCUAGGGGAGCAAACGGG
rnacentral:rRNA from 1 species